AGGAGCUUUUUUGAAGCAAGUUAAAUUUAAAACUGCUGCCUUUUUGAAAGCUAUACGCAAGGAAAAACAGGAUUGCAUAGGAUAGGAUGGUACAGGACAGAUAUUGCUCUAAAAAGGUAUGUCAAAUUACAAUCAACUAAUCCAUCUUCACUGCUCUUUCUCUCUCUCAAUCUCUACUAUUUCCAUAGUAUAUACUUUUCUUUUUUCACACGAAGGAACCAGACGCCAACCAACAAUCUGUAGAGAGUUUUGGGAAGUUUCUCCAUAGUAUAUACUUCUCUUUUUUCACACGAAGGAACCAGACGCCAACCAACAAUCUGUAGAGAGUUUUGGGAAGUUUCUCGUAUUGCUCAUAAAAGUAUAUAUAGAGUACAGAGAAAUCAAAUCCUACCAACUAUAAGACUGUACAAUAAUAAGAAAAUAUUCUACCAAUAAUAAAGACAUACACACAAUUAUAUUCUAACACAAUCAUCACAUCUAUUGACUUUUUGUCAGACACUGCAACAAUGGUGCUAUGGUGCUUGCCGACAACAUGCUGGUUGCGUAAAUGCAUCGUCACCUUUUGUCUGUAUCAGAUACUUGCGAAUUGCAAUUUGUAAAUAUAAUAUGUAUGUGAACAGUACUACUAUAAAUCAACUAUUCUAUUGGUCCAAGUGCAUGCAAAUAGUCAUCCCGUAUUUUCAACUCUUAAUAAGGAUAGUUGAUAUAUUCAAUUGAUAAACAAAAUGGAAUAUAUGUAGUAUUAUGUUUGUAUUCAAUUAUAUUUUCAUACCAGCAAAUAUUGGGCAUGUGCUGGCAGUUUAGGAUAGUUACCUUUAUUUUUCAGGUGGAAUAGUCUAUGAUCUCAAAAAUACUUUUCUUCUUAGCUUUUACCUAUUAAGCGCGAAAUUUGUAAUGUUAUUGUUUUGUAAUUUGAUAGCCAAGUUGAACCUCUUUCUCAUUUUUUUCUUAUUUUACUUUGUGGGAAUUAGGUAUAAUGUGAUGACAAUUUGUGGACAGUGGACACUCGUUGAACAAGGAACUACAGAAGGAAAUCAAAGUGGAAAAUCCCUUGUUGCAUAAGUGCUGAGUUGAACUAAACCAGUAUCCCAUGAGUCAGGCUGCAUACAUGACUAAAAAUUCAGAUUUUUCUCACAUGGAAUUGGAUAGUUUACUAUUACAUAGAGGCUUGGUCACUUUUAUUAGUGGGACAGUUAAGCAUGUAUAUGCAGAUUGAUUUUAAAUCCAGUAGAUUGAGAAGA
rnacentral:lncRNA from 1 species